UUCGUUACUUCUCCAAGCCCCAAAGAAACCCAAAACUAAUUUCUCCCAAACCCGUGAAACCCUUAUGGUUCUGCAUCCCUCUUCCCUGUUCCCUCGAUUUGCUAUUGAAACUCGCCGGUGUUCCCCAAGCUCGCAGGAGAUGUGCUAAUCGUCGGAGCUUCGGCACCGUUGCUGGUUUGUUGUCGCUGCUGUGUUAUUUUGCCUAUGUUUUUCUCUCUCCUUGUUGUUCUCGUCGGUGUCCCUAGUUUGUCGGACCUGCUGCUGCUGGCGUCGCUGCUUCGCCGCUAGCUCGAUGUGUCGCCGCACCACCCUCAUGCCUCGCCGGACCUGCGACCACACAUCUUUUUCCUUCUCUCUCGCUGAUUCCUCUGUUCUUCGCUGCUCUUGUGAGCAGAGAAAUUGGAGCUUUUCGUCGCACAGUUUGAGAGAAGCAAUUUGUCCAAGACAAAGUUUCUUUUAAUAUUGAAGCUCCUAGUAGUUCCGUGAAUCUUUUUUUUUCUUUAGAACUAAAAGUUGUCAAUUUGUAGUCAUUGGUGAUGGGUUCAAUUGAAUCAGAAAAUUCUUGUGAUUGUAAUGAAUUCAUGGAAUUGGCAAUACAAGAAGCAAAACAUGCUUUGGAGAGACUUGAAGUGCCAGUUGGUUGUGUGAUUGUCGAGAAUAAGAAGGUCAUUGCUUCUGGUAGUAAUCGUACUAACGAGACAAGGAAUGCUACAAGACACGCAGAGAUGGAAGCUAUUGACACCCUUCUACAGCAGUGGCAACGGGAUGACGGACUUUCUCCAGCAGAUAUUUCUAAGAAGUUUUCAGAGUGUGUUCUGUAUGUUACAUGUGAGCCUUGCAUAAUGUGUGCAGCUGCUUUGUCAUUUGUGGGUCUAAAAGAAGUGUAUUAUGGAUGUGCUAAUGAUAAGUUUGGAGGAUGUGGUUCAAUCCUUUCCCUACAUUCAAUGAGCUCUCAGCACUCUGACUUUGCUGAACCAAAAGGCUUUAAAUGCACUGGAGGAAUAAUGGCAUCUGAAGCAGUUUCUCUUUUUCAAAUAUUUUAUGAACGCGGAAAUCCUAAUGCACCAAAGCCCCAUAGAACAGUCCUUCAACCCUGAUACCUCUCCCUUCUUUUUAUGUUUUUGAUCUCUUGUGAGACUGAACGUUGCUUCUAAGUGCAUUGAUGAUACCAAUGAUAAGUGUGAGAAGUCGAUAUCUCAAAGGGUAAAAUGCCCGGAAGUGGUCAGGGUCUCUUUGGCACACAGUAGUUCUACGGGAACUGCCGGCAAACUUUGUAUUGCAAUUGUUCUGCUCAGUUCUGUGGCAUUGAGGCAACAUCUCAUUAUGGACUCGUUUCCAGUGGUAUCUAUAAGCUCCGUUAUUUAGGUUGAAUGAGUAAGUGUCCUGGUCGCUCCGUCUAUUCCGGUGUUCCUGACCUUGAAGACGCAUGGCAUAAAGAUGCAGUGUCUAUUAUCCAGGAUGUAUUAGACCAAGAAGUGAAGCAAUGUGUACCUGCAACAUGUGCUGAGUAAUCAGGUGUAUCAUUAUGUGCUGCAGGUUUUUGUUGAUUCAUCAUCUGAACAAACAAGUCAUACUGAUUAGCUGUAAUUGAAAUGUUGUCAUCCUUGACCAAAUUGUUGCAUUCCUUUUCUGUGUCUGAGUUACAACUACAGCUUUCUUCUUGAAAAUGUGAGCUGGAUAUCCAACCAACUUGUAACAUUUGUGCUUUGUAUGACCACUCAUAUUACAGUGAUCACAAUGAAGAUUACUCCACCUUGUGCUCUCAUUGUUGUAUGAGUUUUUGUUGUAUCUCUCUGAGGAAUUGUUAUUGUAUCUCUCUGAAGUAUUAUUGAAAUUCUUGGAUCUCUCAGUGUAAUCUAUGAACCUUCUCUUGGCAACAGCAAAUGCCGUAUUGUCAUCUGAAUUUGUAUGACUACUGUA